rnacentral:sRNA from 1 species
CUUGUUGAGGGCAAAUGAAGUGGAUAUGAGCGUCAAUUGCCCCAGCGGUAAUAAUCUGACCUUCACCUGCAAUUAUUUCUGUUCCAGGCCCGAUUACGAUUGAAAUAUCGGAUUGUAUGUCGGGAUUUCCAGCCUUUCCUAUAGAAUGAAUCCUGCCCUUUUUCAGCCCAAUAUCAGCCUUAACUACACCCCAAUGAUCAAGGAUCAACGCAUUUGUAAUCACUGUAUCCAUCGAUUCAGCGUCACCACUCUGACCCUGACCCAUUCCAUCCC